GACAGAGGGUGCAAACGUUGCUCGGAAUUACUGGGCGUAAAGCGCACGUAGGCGGCUUUGUAAGUUAGAGGUGAAAGCCCGGGGCUCAACUCCGGAAUUGCCUUUAAGACUGCAUCGCUAGAAUUGUGGAGAGGUAAGUGGAAUUCCGAGUGUAGAGGUGAAAUUCGUAGAUAUUCGGAAGAACACCAGUGGCGAAGGCGACUUACUGGACACAUAUUGACGCUGAGGUGCGAAAGCGUGGGGAGCAAACAGG
rnacentral:rRNA from 1 species